GAUGAAUGCUGGCGGCGUGCCUAACACAUGCAAGUCGAGCGUAACAGGAGUAGUUUACUACUUGCUGACGAGCGGCGGACGGCUGAGUAACGCGUGGGAACGUGCCCCAAAGUGAGGAAUAACUGCCCGAAAGGGUAGCUAAUACCGCAUAUGAUCUUCGGAUUAAAGGAUUUAUCCGCUUUGGGAGCGGCCCGCGUACGAUUAGGUAGUUGGUAGGGUAAUGGCCUACCAAGCCGACGAUCGUUAACUGGUCUUAGAGGAUGAUCAGUCAGACUGGAACUGAGACACGGUCCAGACUCCUACGGGAGGCAGCAGUGAGGAAUCUUCCACAAUGGGCGAAAGCCUGAUGGAGCAACGCCGCGUGCAGGAUGAAGGCCUUCGGGUUGUAAACUGCUUUUAUAAGUGAAGAAUAUGACGGUAACUUAUGAAUAAGCACCGGCUAACUACGUGCCAGCAGCCGCAGUA
rnacentral:rRNA from 1 species